GAUGAACGCUAGCUGGAGGCUUAAUACAUGCAAGUCGAGCGGGAUUGGGUAGCAAUACCCAUGAGAGCGGCGCACGGGUGAGUAACGCGUACACGACCUACCUCUAACAGGGGGAUAGCCCUGGGAAACUGGGAUUAAUACCGCAUAUUAUUCUGAAUAAUAAAGGUUUGGAAUGAAAGCUGAGGCGGUUAGAGAUGGGUGUGCGUCUGAUUAGCUAGUUGGUAGGGUAACGGCCUACCAAGGCGAUGAUCAGUAGGGGGCGUGAGAGCGUGGUCCCCCACACGGGUACUGAGGCACGGACCCGACUCCUACGGGAGGCAGCAGUAAGGAAUAUUGGUCAAUGGGCGAAAGCCUGAACCAGCCAUCCAGCGUGCAGGAAGAAGGCCCUAUGGGUUGUAAACUGCUUUUAUCAGGGAAGAAACCUCUGGAUUUACUCCGGAGCUGACGGUACCUGAAGAAUAAGCACCGGCUAACUCCGUGCCAGCCGCCGCGGUAACAC
rnacentral:rRNA from 1 species